rnacentral:lncRNA from 1 species
AAAAAUAUUUUUGGAAAGAUGGAUGGCGGACUACAUUUCUGAAGUUCCAUACUUUUUGUGAUUCUAGCUUGGAAUAAACGCCACUUCAUAAAAUGAUUGCGCUAUCGCUAAGUCUGUCCAUAUUUCUACAACUGUCUCUGACUGAAACCACACAUGCCCUUCACUGUUAAAAUUGCUCCAACAUUGCUGAUGCUGAUGAAUGUUUGACAAUAACAGAGUGUUAUGCUG